rnacentral:rRNA from 1 species
CCUACGGGUGGCAGCAGUGAGGAAUAUUGGUCAAUGGGCGCGAGCCUGAACCAGCCAAGUCGCGUGAGGGAAGACGGUCCUAUGGAUUGUAAACCUCUUUUGUCGGGGAGCAAAAGACGCCACGCGUGGCGGUCCGAGAGUACCCGAAGAAAAAGCAUCGGCUAACUCCGUGACAGCAGCCGCGGUAAUACGGAGGAGGCGAGCGUUAUCCGGUUUGAUUGGGUUUAAAGGGAGCGCAGGAGGAAGAUCAAGUCAGCGGUAAAAUUGAGAGGCUCAACCUCUUCGAGCCGUUGAAACUGGUUUUCUUGAGUGAGCGAGAAGUAUGCGGAAUGUGUGGUGUAGCGGUGAAAUGCUUAGAUAUCACGCAGAACUCCGAUUGCGAAGGCAGCAUACCGGCGCUCAACUGACGCUCAUGCACGAAAGUGUGGGUAUCGAACAGGAUUAGAUACCCGGGUAGUC